AUGGCGGACCUGGAGGCAGUGCUGGCCGAUGCCAGUUACCUGAUGGCCAUGGAGAAGAGCAAGGCGACCCCGGCCGCCCGCGCCAGCAAGAGGACAGUCCUGCCCGAGCCAAAUAUCCAGAUACAGCUCCUGGACUGGCCCCAGGGUUUUCAACUGAAGCAUAAUUCACAGAAGCAUGUGUUUGGCAGCGGGACCCAGCUCACCGUUUUAGGUCAGCCCAAGGACAACCCCUUGGUCACUCUGUUCCCACCGUCCUCUUAGGCGCUCCAAACCAUCAAGGCCACACUGGUGUGUCUCAUGAAUGACUUCUAUCUGGGAAUCUUGACGAUGACCUGGAAGGCAGAUGGUACCCCCAUCACCCAGGGUGUGGCGAUGACCACACCCUCCAAACAGGGCAACAACAAGUACUCGGCCAGCAGCUACCUGAGCCUGACGCCCGAGCAGCGGGGGUCCCACAGAAACUACCGCUGCCAGGUCACGCAUGAAAGGAGCACCGUGGAGAAGACGGUGGCCCCUGCAAAAUGUUCAUAGAUUCCCAGCCCUCACCCCACCCACAGGGGCCUGGAGCUGCAGGAUCCCAGGGGAGGGGUCUCUGCAUCCUAAGCCAUCCAGCCCUUCUCCCUGUACCCAGUAAACCCUCAAUAAAUAUCCUCCGUCAACCA